rnacentral:rRNA from 1 species
AUGACUAUUCCGCCUGGGCAACAAGAUCCAUACAGAAAUAGAAAACAAGGUCUUUCACAAAACGUAAUGGUUGCAUGUGACUUUGACAUGAAGUUUGUGCAUGUACAUGCUGGAUGGGAGGGAUCUGCAUCAGAUGCAAGGGUUUUGCAAGAUGCACUAGAACAUGGAUUCAAUGUACCGCCUGGAAAAAAUUAUCUUGUAGAUGCGGGUUAUGCAAAUACACCCCAAUUCAUUGCUCCAUACCGAGGAACUAGAUAUCAUUUACAAGAAUAA